rnacentral:snRNA from 1 species
GUGCUAGCUUCGGCAGAAAAUAUUCUAAAAUUGGAUUAAUCUAGAGAAGAUUAGCAUGACAUUAGUGUAAGGAUGACAUACAAAAUCAUGAAACAUUCUUAAUUGAA